CCCCUUCGCCUGAUGACCUUUUCCAAUCACGAUGACCUCCCGUCGCUGCUGAAGGAAUUGGAAACAGUACUGGAGGAAUUGUGAUCUAUGGCAAGGGUGAUGGUGUCUAUGGAUGGUGAUGAAGGGUGACGAGUCUAAUGUCUUUCGUCAAGACAUGCAACAAAGUGAAGUUAUGAAGUUCUGGUCAAUUUAGCUUAUGCAUAAUGCUUGGACCAUUAGAUCUUAGUUACUAUUUUGUUUUGCAUUUCAAACUUCCUAGAUAGAUCAUGGUGAUCAGUGUAAUUUUGAUGCAACUCUUCUGAUAUUCUGAAAGGUGUGCUAAAUACAAUAGUUUAUGUUUCUUGGUCAUCCGUGGGUUGUGCAAUUA